rnacentral:rRNA from 1 species
AUUGAACGCUGGCGGCAUGCCUUACACAUGCAAGUCGAACGGUAACAGGUCUUCGGAUGCUGACGAGUGGCGAACGGGUGAGUAAUACAUCGGAACGUGCCUAGUAGUGGGGGAUAACUACUCGAAAGAGUGGCUAAUACCGCAUGAGAUCAACGGAUGAAAGCAGGGGAUCGCAAGACCUUGCGCUACUAGAGCGGCCGAUGGCAGAUUAGGUAGUUGGUGGGAUAAAAGCUUACCAAGCCGACGAUCUGUAGCUGGUCUGAGAGGACGAUCAGCCAGACUGGGGCUGGGAAACGGCCCAGACUCCUACGGGAGGCAGCAGUGGGGAAUUUUGGACAAUGGGCGCAAGCCUGAUCCGGCAAUGCCGCGUGCAGGAUGAAGGCCUUCGGGUUGUAAACUGCUUUUGUACGGAACGAAAAGCCCCGGGUUAAUACCCUGGGGUCAUGACGGUACCGUAAGAAUAAGCACCGGCUAACUACGUGCCAGCCGCCGCCGUAA